GUGAGGGGCACGUUUAUCUCCGCAUGUGAGUUGCUUGAAUUUCUGCCUGCCGAAUUAUAAAGCCCCGUUUGAGCAGGGGAGACUUUGAGAAGAAGUUGUGCAGGGCUUUAUUUAGCAGCCUUGACCCGCUUGAUUGAUGGCCGAUGAGUCUGAGGGGGUGGGGGGGGGGCUAUACGGCUGGGUGUCAACCCCCUCGGUUGCAGGAUGCACACACUCCAUUAGCUUUGCCGAACACGAGCCAUUAGCUUUUUGGCUACCGCAACUCAUUAAUUCAACACACCUUGGCGUUGCGCUCCACUGCGUCGGAUCUACUCUGCAGCAUCCUGCGCACAUCUCUGCCUCCGCAGGCCUGUGCAGUCAUACCGUAUUCAGCCCAGGGGAUAAUUGCCCCCCAGCACAUCUCAGCUAUUGUGUGUUGCCGUUCCCCCCCCCCUGGGAAGGAAGCAGUAUUGCCAGAUGGAGCCGUGGUCAGCUUCAAGUUGGGAGCCGCGGCCCAGGAUGGGCAAUUUGGACCCCACUCUGUGGCGGCAAUUUGUUCAGGACAGAAAUAACUCGGUCUUGAACUGAAAAUACACUGUGUUUCUAAUGCACCUCCACCCAAACGGGCGAUGGCACAAUCUCUGCAUAGAGGAGAGGAAAAAUACUAUUUGUAGCUCCACAACCAUGUUUGGCAAUGACUUCAAGAAAAGAAAAUAACUUUUACCACGUCAACCUCCCUUCUUUGCCGGUUAUUUUUUACCAUCAGCGGGCAACUACUGUACUCCUUUCCAUCAAAAUCAAACGUUAUUUUUAGAAUUCAUUCAAACCCUUAAUGAAAUCACUUUUGUGCUCCGAAGAGUCUGAUGUAUUCACGCUUCUGUGAGUGUUAAGACGCAGUCAUACACAUGAAUACAUCCCCGGUGGUUUACCCAUUCGCUGAGUUGAAGCUAUGAAAAAUGAAUGUUUAUUCACAACUUGCGCGAGGGCAUGUUUACCCUCGACGGUUGCAUGAUUAUUUGUACCCGCCACACACUCAGCACGGGUCUAUUAUUAGACCACAUGUAUAGAUCCUCUGUUGCAUUAUGUGUCAACCUGAUUCAUUCAUCCCAUCCCAAAACACCUGAGGAUCAUUUAUAAGAGCUGACAAAAAGGCGGGAGAGGAGCUCAAUCAUUUUGAAACCUUUAAACUUUCAAUGGAUGUCAUAGAGAAUAUUAAAGCCACCGCUUAUUUUUUUCCCUUGGCAUAAAAUGAUACGUACAGGGCCAUUGUGUGAGAGAC
ensembl:lncRNA